GAAGAAAAUAUGCUUAUAUUUUACCUAUUUCUGACUGAAUAGGAUAUGCAGAAAUCAGAUUCUCUGGAUAGCUUAUUUGGCGACAAAGAUGCAAGUAGUGCUCUGGAAGUUUCUGGAACCUGAUUUACCUGAUGGACCUGACGAUGGAAAAAAGGCGUCCUUACUUAUGAUGAAUUUUUCUAGAGAUGAAGUUGAGUUUGCAAUGAAUAUGCUUGGUGAUCAAGAUGGAGGCUGACUACAAAGCAAGUUCCCUCUGUACCUUCCUCUUACAUAUUUGGAUUUGCCAAGUUGAUAUUAUCUGAUAUUGACUGCUUUGCUUUUCUGUUUUUUCUGUAGACUCCUAAUAUGCAGUUUCAGGCUUUGAUUUACUACCUUACAAAUCUAAGUGAAUUACAGAUGGUUUUAGUUUUGGCUACUGGGUAUAUAACAAAACCUUAAUAUGUUUGUUUCAUUGAUGCUGGUUUCUUGAUUCUGUUGCUCUUUUGAUUUUUCUGUGUUUUUGUUUUUGCUCUAUUGUUGUUUCAGAGGUGAAUCUAUUCCUCCCUGUAACACUACAUUACUCAUCAUUCAAGGUAAACUCAUUCCUUACAAUCUACAGUUUUGACUAGAAAUUGAACAUUAUAGCCUAUUGUUAUUAAUUCUGCUUUCCCAUUUCUCUAUGUAAAGGUGUACCACCAUUUACUUGUGUGUUCC